rnacentral:rRNA from 1 species
CCCCAGGCCUCGCGCAUGCAGGUCUAUCGGGAGAGAGAAGCUUGCUUCUCUUGAGAGCGGCGGACGGGUGAGUAAUGCCUAGGAAUCUGCCUGGUAGUGGGGGAUAACGUUCGGAAACGGACGCUAAUACCGCAUACGUCCUACGGGAGAAAGCAGGGGACCUUCGGGCCUUGCGCUAUCAGAUGAGCCUAGGUCGGAUUAGCUAGUUGGUGAGGUAAUGGCUCACCAAGGCGACGAUCCGUAACUGGUCUGAGAGGAUGAUCAGUCACACUGGAACUGAGACACGGUCCAGACUCCUACGGGAGGCAGCAGUGGGGAAUAUUGGACAAUGGGCGAAAGCCUGAUCCAGCCAUGCCGCGUGUGUGAAGAAGGUCUUCGGAUUGUAAAGCACUUUAAGUUGGGAGGAAGGGCAGUUACCUAAUACGUGAUUGUUUUGACGUUACCGACAGAAUAAGCACCGGCUAACUCUGUGCCAGCAGCCGCGGUAAUACAGAGGGCGCAAGCGUUAAUCGGAAUUACUGGGCGUAAAGCGCGCGUAGGUGGUUUGUUAAGUUGGAUGUGAAAUCCCCGGGCUCAACCUGGGAACUGCAUUCAAAACUGACUGACUAGAGUAUGGUAGAGGGUGGUGGAAUUUCCUGUGUAGCGGUGAAAUGCGUAGAUAUAGGAAGGAACACCAGUGGCGAAGGCGACCACCUGGACUGAUACUGACACUGAGGUGCGAAAGCGUGGGGAGCAAACAGGAUUAGAUACCCUGGUAGUCCACGCCGUAAACGAUGUCAACUAGCCGUUGGGAGCCUUGAGCUCUUAGUGGCGCAGCUAACGCAUUAAGUUGACCGCCUGGGAGU